rnacentral:rRNA from 1 species
AUAUCCCUCUAGAGGAGCCUGUUCUGUAAUCGAUAAACCCCGAUAAACCUCACCAACCCUUGCUAAUACAGCCUAUAUACCGCCAUCUUCAGCAAACCCUAAAAAGGAAGCAUAGUAAGCAAAACCAUUAAACAUAAAAACGUUAGGUCAAGGUGUAGCCUAUGGGUUGGAAAGAAAUGGGCUACAUUUUCUAAAAUAGAACACAUACGGACCUUUUCGUGAAACGAGAGGAACAAGGAGGAUUUAGUAGUAAAUUAAGAAUAGAGAGCUUAAUUGAAUAAGGGCAUGAAAGAC